rnacentral:rRNA from 1 species
GACGAACGCUGGCGGCGUGCUUAACACAUGCAAGUCGAACGGACAGACAGAGAGCUUGCUCUCUUGAAGUUAGUGGCGAACGGGUGAGUAACGCGUAAUUAACCUGCCCUUCAGAGGGGGAUAACAACGGGAAACCGUUGCUAAUACCGCGUACGAUUCAUGAACGGCAUCGUUUAUGAAUGAAAGGUGGCCUCUAUGUAUAAGCUAUCGCUGAAGGGGGGGAUUGGGUCUGAUUAGCUAGUUGGAGGGGUAACGGCACACCAAGGCGAUGAUCAGUAGCCGGUCUGAGAGGAUGAACGGCCACAUUGGGACUGAGACACGGCCCAAACUCCUACGGGAGGCAGCAGUGGGGAAUCUUCCGCAAUGGACGAAAGUCUGACGGAGCAACGCCGCGUGAGUGAUGAAGGUCUUCGGAUUGUAAAGCUCUGUUAAUCGGGACGAAAGAGUUCUGCGUGAAUAAUGCAGAAAAGUGACGGUACCGGAAUAGAAAGCCACGGCUAACUACGUGCCAGCCGCCGCGGUAA